rnacentral:rRNA from 1 species
GAGAAUUUAGUCAAUGCUCGCCAGAGUGAACUAGCUACUGAAUCACAAAAUCACAGAUAGGUGCUUAUUGUGAUAACGUAAGGGAAAAAUUUGAUAUUACCUUACUAUAAGUGUUGUCUAAAUAACUGGUGCCAGAAGACUCGGUAACACCAGAAACGCGAACGUUAGUCGUCUUAAACAGGCGUAAAGGGUAAGUAGGCUGCUUUAAAUUUUUAUUUUUAUAAAAGCUAAUUAAUAAUUUUUGCUUAGUAAUAAUUUUUUGCCCCUGCGUAGCUGCUGCGCUAAUAACAAGCAAGUAGCUUCGGUAAGGGAUGAAUCAAGCUACAACUAAAAACUUAAAUUAAUAAAUUAAAUAAAGAUAGAUAUACUUAAAGCUAGAAUCAUAAUUGAGAUAAACCAAAUAAUACUUAAGUGUAAGGGUAAAAUCUAAAAAUACUAAGUAGAAUACUAACGGUGAAAACUUUUUAUCUAGGAGUGAUUGACGCUGAGGUACGAAAGUGAGAACAGGGAAUAGGAUUAGAUACCCAGUUACCUCUCACCGUCAACGAUGCAAUGGUAGUUGUUAGUAGUUAGUCUCGUUAGUAAAAUUAAUUCUCAAUUAAUUAAAUUAACUAGCGAAGCAACUUCAAUUAAAACUAGUGACGAUGUUAACGCGAUAACCAUUCCGCCUUGAGAGUACGGUUGCAAAACUGAAACCAAAAAAAUUAGUCGGUUCUCGGACAACGGAGUGAAGCAUGUUAUUUAAUCGAU